rnacentral:rRNA from 1 species
GACGAAGGGGGCUAGCGUUGUUCGGAAUUACUGGGCGUAAAGCGCGUGUAGGCGGUUUGCCAAGUCGGGUGUGAAAGCCUUGGGCUUAACCCAAGAAAUGCAAUCGGUACUGGCAGACUAGAGGACCGGAGAGGAUAGUGGAACUCCCAGUGUAGUGGUGAAAUACGUAGAGAUUGGGAAGAACACCAGUGGCGAAGGCGGCUAUCUGGACGGUUUCUGACGCUAAGACGCGAAAGCGUGGGGAGCAAACAGG